rnacentral:rRNA from 1 species
UACGGGGGGGGCAAGCGUUGUUCGGAAUUACUGGGCGUAAAGGGCUCGUAGGCGGCCCACUAAGUCAGACGUGAAAUCCCUCAGCUUAACUGGGGAACUGCGUCUGAUACUGGAUGGCUUGAGUUUGGGAGAGGGAUGCGGAAUUCCAGGUGUAGCGGUGAAAUGCGUAGAUAUCUGGAGGAACACCGGUGGCGAAGGCGGCAUCCUGGACCAACACUGACACUGAUGAGCGAAAGCCAGGGGAGCAAACGGG